CCUGCCCAGUGACAAUAAGUUAAACGGCCGCGGUAUUUUAACCGUGCUAAGGUAGCGUAAUCACUUGUCUUUUAAAUGAAGACCCGUAUGAAAGGUGUCACGAGGGCCCUACUGUCUCCUCCUUCCAGUCUGUGAAAUUGAUCUACCCGUGCAGAAGCGGGUAUUCUAACAUAAGNCGAGAAGACCCUGUGGAGCUUAAGAUUAUUAACCAAUCACGCCUAGACAGCCAUCAAACCAGAAAGCAAACAAGCAUANCGACAAUGGAUUAAUCAUCUUCGGUUGGGGCGACCAUGGAGGANAAAUAAGCCUCCAAGAGGAACCAGGGGGUCAAUUACACAAUACCCCUAAGAGCUAAGAGCCACAUCUCUAAGCAACAGAGAAAUCUGACCAAUAAUGACCCAGGUCCAUGACCUGAUCAACGAACCAAGUUACCCCAGGGAUAACAGCGCAAUCCUUUCCUAGAGCCCAUAUCGCCGAAAGGGUUUACGACCUCGAUGUUGGAUCAGGACAUCCUAGUGGCGAAAAUUCUACCAAGGGUUCGUU
rnacentral:rRNA from 1 species